rfam:Bacteroides sp. CAG:443 genomic scaffold, scf169
ACUAUCUUUGCCACCGAUUGGUUCCGGAAGGUUGGUUCGACCCGACGGAUUAAAAGGGAAUCGGGUGAAAGUCCCGAACAGUCCCGCUGCUGUGAAGCUCAUCAAGCACGUUGACAAUUACUCAUUGCCACUGGAUAAAACCGGGAAGGUGUCAAAGCGUGUGAGUCAGUCAGAAGACCUGCCAUCGUUUUUAUUAAUUA